AAAAAAGGAGACCCAGGUCUGGCUGGCACUAAUGGACAAAAUGGUUUGAAAGGUGACUUGGGUCCUCGUGGUCCACCCGGCCCAAAAGGAGAAAAGGGAGAUACAGGACCUCCAGGACCACCAGCCUUAACUGUAAGUAUUCUUAAAAUCAAAAAGCAAAAUUGAAAUAUGUUAUCC